GACGCUGACCUUUUUUUUUUCUUUCUAAAAUAUAAACGUUACCCAAUAGGAAUACCCUUUUUAGUUUUUGGCUUUCACCGUUCUAAUCGUGUUUGUUUUAGUUUUUUAAUUUCACCAACAUUUCCUCUCCAGUAUGUAUGGUGAUAAUACUAUAUAUAUUCUUGUUCCAAGCCAAACCCUAAACGGAUUGACUAAUUUAUCCCACACCUAGCUUUGGAGUUUUAUAUUUUUUUUCUAGCUUCCCCAUAUCCCACUCACAUCCUUCUUGGGUUAUGUUACUCUUUUCAAUGGAGACAAAUAUUGAGCAAUUUGAACAAAAUUUGCCGUUCCUGCAUUUGGAUCGGGGUCCCAUAUGAUAUCAUAUGACAGUGUUGAUAUCCCCAGUAAUUCAGAUCAUCGCCUGGGGCUCUGCUUGGUAUUUGCAAAGGGUCUUGGUUCUGUAAACCUUUGGAUGAGAUGGUGACUUCUCCCACAAGCUGUCAGUUAUCAUCUGCAAAAUUCUGAAUGCCUCCAUCCCCCCAAAUUUUUUCUCUUUCAAGAAAAUAUUAUCAACAGGUUUGAUUUUGCAGUUGUGAUUAGAAUUGCAAUGCAAAAAGUUGUUAUAGUUGUGAUUAAUCGUCAACUAUUAUGAUCAAAUUUAGCAUUAAUAUUAUUGAUUCAUAAUACUAAAGGGAGUUCAAAUAUAUAUGUCCCAUACAAUGCUAAACUCUUUUAUUUUAUUUGAUGUUUUUGAGCAUCAUGGUGAGCUCAGGCUCUGCUAUCUGU
rnacentral:lncRNA from 1 species